CUUUCUGUGAACACACCUUUGGCAAGUUGUUUUACAAUUUUUUUGUGCCCUUGGUCAGCCUGGAAGACUAUGGCUAUGUGAUCAGAAUGACAGCUGGCACCUUGUGGCCCAGCCAUGGGGGCUGGAGCAAGUGCAUCAAGAUAAGGCAGCAACUUCUCCAGGGCUCUCCCUGCCAGAGGACUGGAAAUUCAUUUCAGAGUCAGGAGUUCCAAAGAGCACCACCUGCUUCAAGGCAGCUCUGAGCUGAGUUUCCACUGGACGAGAGGAGGAGGAAGGGCCAGAGGACAAACAUGUUAAGAAAACCUUCCAAACUGAUAGGGACAGAGUCAUAUUUUCCAAGUCACAUCAACUGAACAAAGCAAGUCUCUGAAUCAGGACACCAGACUGCUCCCUGACAUUUCCAGGGGUUCCUGAGGAAGGCUCCCUCCAUGUUCAUCCACCUCAGGGGUGUCCUGCAAAGCCCUCUGGAGAACCAGCUUCAGGGUUUGUUGCUUCCACCAUCGCUGCCUAAAGGAGCCAACAAAGAAGUAAAUGACAGGGUUGGCACAGCUGUUGACACAGGACAAAAGAAAGACAACUAGGUAAAGAUGAAAUAAAGCAUCAAUAUCUUUUUGAAACCAGACUAAGAGAAACCAGUGGAUGCCGAAGGGCAGGCCACAGAUGAGGAAGACCAGCACUGUGAGCCCCACCGUCACAUAGAGCCUGGUCAGCUGCACCCGUGAAGAGCCACACAGCAGUUUGGUCAACAGGGCCAGGCUGGACCCAGAGAGAAUCACAAACAGCAAAAUCAGCCAGGCAACAAUGAUGAAAUCAAAUGCCGGACACCAAGAGUGAUGUAAAUCCCUAUUCAGGAAGCCACAGUAGCUCCCUUCCAGGAUGCUCAGCAGCAGGGACAGGGCCCAGAGCAGGGCACACAUGACAGUUGACAUGCGUCUUGGGCGGCGGCAGCGGUACCAGAUGGGCCACAGGAUGGACAAGCAGCGCUCCGUGCUAAUGGCGCUGAGAAAGCUCAGGCCUGCAAUGUAGGCAAAGAUGGAUGCCGUGACAAAAAAGUCUGGGAAGGACUUGAAGAUGGAAUAGAAGAACUUGAUGAGUGUCUCCAGGGCAUGCAAAAUAGAGCAAAAGAGUAAGAUGAAGUCAGCUGCCGCCAGGUUGAGGAUGUAGAUGGAGAAGGCGUUCCUCCUCAUACAGAAGCCCAGGAGCCAGAGCACAGUGGCGUUUCCUGCCAGCCCAACCAGGGCAGUGAUGAAGAUCGGCACAUACCAAAUCAGGUCUUUUGAAUGAAGUUCAGUUAAGGCGUGGUCACUUUCAUUCAUGGGCUCUAGUGUGGUCCCCCAGGCUGCGACAGAUGUUUCUGAGCUCCGAAACCCUCCACUGGUACCACUGGAACAGAAACAGGACUUGAGCACCUGGUACAUGAUCACUGAGUCUCAUGGCCACCCUGCUCCUGGGAGGAACUACUGUCUGUGCUACAGAGGAGGGAGAUGGAGCUUUGUAGUAGUGAGUAAGUCACCAAAGAUUUUACAGCCUUGGAGCCCAGAAGGUGUAUUCGAACCCAGUUCUCUCUGACUGUUAGAGUUGGGGCUCUUCCUACUACAACACAGACCCUGUACUGAGUGGGCAUAGUUUAUGGUCCAAACACCUCCAGGCACAGCCCUAGGCCAUGUUGUGUCUGCAGGAAGCAGGAGGAGAAAGGCCUGCACAGGGUGUGUGGAUGACAAGAGGACUCUGAUCUCAGCACCACGUCUGCCCUGGGACUGAGAUUUCCUGUGAAGGGCUAGAAGCUGGGAGCCCUAGAUGUGACCUCUGGGCUAUCUCAGUGACUGAGAUGUCCAUCCCCCAUAAAGGAGAGCAUGAUUUAGGGUUGUAACUCGUACACAACCUCUUACUAUGAGGGGUGUGGGUGUAGCCAGGCCUCUUGGUGUUGGAGGUGGUGGAGUGUGUCAUCUUCAUGAAGAAGACAGGAAGCACUGCUGUUCAGUGGUGUGUCCAGCUAUAUGUGCCCUACACAGGUUACGUCACUCUCACAAUGGGUUUCUUCUUAGAGCAGUGAAAAUCAUAAACGUGAAAUACUUAUCAAUGACAUUGUACUCCCACCUUGUUAAGUGAAACCUACAUUGCAUUCUUAAGACAUUUAUGAUGAUAGUGUCAGAUUAUCCCAAAGAAGUAACACCCAAUAGAGGUGCAAAGAGUCAAACAAAGAAACUGAGGAGAUAUAGUGAGAACUUGAGGCAGUCACCCUGUGAGAGGGAGAAGAAGAGAGGAAAUCCAAGGAAAACGAAGAGUUAGGAGGUCAAGAGAAGAGAUGGAUUUUUUCUUUUACCAUCAAAUAUCAUUUCUAUCUCCUCUACCCUCCUCUGCAUCAUAGGAGGACCGGCUUGUUUCCCUCACCACUGGGCUCCCUUUCCCUCUGGCUCCUGGCUGCUCUCAGGAAAGGGAGACGCUGACAGGUGAUUGGAAGGCAAGAGGAGGGUGACUGGGGUUGUAACUCCCUGGCUCUCAGCUCCAGGCUGUCAGUUGCCCAAGGUGGUGUUAUUCUGACUAACCAUAGUCCUUGUCUGGUGGCUUUUCUUAUGGUCACGGUGACACCCAUAGCUAUAGCCACAGCCAUCCCUGAGUUCUGCUAACUUGUCUUUCCCUUUAACCUUCAGUAUGUGCAAGGACUACAGCUCUUAAGUAUGAUUUAUAUUGGGGGCCUACACACCCUUUAUCGAUUUCCCUUAUCCCUGCUCACACCUUCAUACACAGUCCCUUUAUCACACUCUUCUUAGUAACCUCAUUUUGUUGUGCCCUGUAUAUUCUCCUGCGAUGAACCAGAUAGAAGGAAUAAAAAAACAAUGGAAAAAAACCUCACAAACCUUGGAACAGUAAGCUAAUCUAUGAAACCUGAAGUUAUUAAAACUAUUUAGUUGAAAACAACAUCAAUGGAGCAGAAGGGACCUGGUGGGCCCUGUGUGGAUCGCCCACAGUCUACACUACCAGCACCCAAAACUUCCCUGAAGGGGCACCUGACUCUGGACUCUCACAGAUGGAUCCCAUGGCUCCCUGUGUCCCCCACCCAAGGUGCAACCUUGAGCAUGUGGACUCAGAGGGACUAAACAAAACUGCAACUGAAAGAAGAUAGUUCAGAGCUGACUCUUACCUUACUGCCAUCUUGAAGUUCAAGGGUGAGAAUAGACAAGGAAGAGCUCCCAGGGAGUGCCAAAAACCAGAGAAUGUUCUUCCAGCCUUUGAUUAGGAGGUGCCUGCAGGAGCAGGAGUGAACCCUGAAGACCAGAAGAGGCUUAUCAAGAAACUGCACAGCCCCUGUAAUUUCCUGCACCAGGGGCACUGGCAGAUAAGAUUCUGGAGAUUAAGACAAGAGCUUCAUGGGAUGGGUCUCAUUUGUCCUGACUCCAAUGACUUAUCUCUUCCUCUCUGCAUCUUACCCACUCUGGUCCCCCUCCCUGUGAGGGAUGGCUGUCCUGGAGCCAGCUGCUGUCCCCUGUGAGCCUGUGCAAGAAACCCAUCCACCAGGCAAUGUGGGCUUCUGUAGCUGAAGAAGAGUUUGCUUGGCAUUCA